GGAGAAAGAGCAAGGAGAGUGUGAUCUGAAGCAACAGCUGCUGCAGGCUCUGCAGGAGGUAACGUAAUCUCUCCCACUUCCCGCGGCUGUGGUAGUUGUGAGUGGGGAACAGCCAAGCACCACAUGGCCACUAGCUGCCUCUGCCUCUUAGCCCACUCCUCUGUGUUGUCUCCAGUCUGCAAACAGAACAGGUGCCAGAUGCUCACACCAUCCGGCUGGAGAUUUGGAGCCUCACAGAUACGCACCAGAUCUCAGGCGUGGAAGCGUAUGUCUCCAUCAAGCAGAAGGCGCCCUGGUGAUGACAGAGCAGCCUGGAGACGAUCUCGGGAUAGGGGCUCUACUUCAGAAUAGCGAGGGCAGCGGCGGGCAGAGGUUAGCUACGCCUGGGCCAGGGGGCCCGUAAG
rnacentral:lncRNA from 1 species